AAGAGGUUCAGCUGCAUGUGUCUGCAAUGAGAAAAGAGCUGUACUAAAAAGGACAGUCUUCUCACCUUCUUCACAAAUUAUUUCCUGUGAUUUUUUAUUCCUAUGAUUCAAGCAGCAAUGAAAAUAAGGAAAAAAACAGCUAUUUCUUACUAUUUUUAAAAGCAAGUCAAAAACCCAAGCCUUGUAUCUAACAAGUAGUACAACAGAACAGCAUCUUGGCUUUGCCUUCCCAGCCUGAAUCAACCAUACCAGCUCUCUGAAAUGCUUCAUGUAGAGCAUCCACCAUAUUCACUGGAAAACACUAGAAGUCCUGAUUGUGCCAGAUGCCCUGGCACCAGAGGGCCUUUGAAACCUUCUCCUGUUUCUUCAGCACCUGAUGGUGAUUGUUUGACUGGAGAUUUAUGGCUGGCCUGAAACUCAAAGCUUCCAAAGAGCUGAAGUUACAGAAGCUUGCAGUGAUGCUGAAUUCCCUGGAGUGGUGGUGCUAUUGUCAUCUGACGGCUGCUGAGCAGUGAAGUGAGAUGGUAAUUUCUGCAUUCCAGUGGUCGAGAGCUCUACCACCAAAAAUACCAACAGGACUCAAAAGAAAAAGCUGUUUAGAGAUCUUAUAUUCCAGACAUGUUUUGUGUAUGUUUGAGCUCUAACCGCAUCAGUGGCACUGCUGGUUUUAAGUGAGUAUCUCCUCUGAUAGUUUAUCACAGGCAUAAGAACUUAUAGAAUGGAGAUUCAGUUACUUAUCUCUGGGGGGAAGCAGCCAGGAAACCAUGAUCAGGAAAGAAAAGAGACUUCUGCACCUGCUCUCAUCCCAUCAGCACUGAGAACUGACAAAGCCAAAAGGUCUGCGGGGGCAUCUCUGCAAAAUAUUUGUGGCCUGGGUAGUGUUUUCUUCCAUGGAAUGUCAGAAUCACAGAGUAGCUGAGGCUGGUGAGCACCUCUGAAGAUUGCCUAGUCCAAUCUCUUGUUCAAGCAGAGUCAGCUAGAGCAGACUGGACCUUGUCCUGUUGGGUUUUGAAUAUCUCCAAGGAUGGAGACCCUACUAACUGACCAGAAAAUCUGUGCCAGGGUUUGAUCCCUCUCACAGCAGAACAGGUUUUUGUUAUGUUUCAGAAGGAACUGUCUGGAUUUCAGUUUGUGCCCCUUGCCUCUUGGCCUGUCACUGGGCACCAAUGAGAAGAAUCUGUGUCUGUCUCCUUUGCUCCAUUAGAUAUUGAUAAGGUCCCCUGAGCCUUUUCUCCUCCAGGCUGAUCUGUUCCAGCUCCCUCAGCCUCUCAUGGGGAAGAUGCUCCUGUCCCUUCAUAUCUCUGUCCUUUUGGAGGCUAUGGUUGCUGCAGCAUUGCAAAGGUCUUAAAUUACACAUAAAGCUGUAAACCCCCCCUUCUCUGUCCCCUUGAUGCCUCUUCAUCCAUUGUUCUUAAAACACAAGUGGUACGGGAGAGCCAAGAAAAAAAAUGCAAGUUCUUUGUAGGAACAACUUUGUAUCUAACGCUCAGAAAUUGAAGGUUUCAUUCCUGCUUCAUCCUUUAAAGUCAUGAUACGACAUUUAAGGUGAUGCUGCAAAAUUACAAAACAAGUGUUCCUGCCAAUGUAAAUAAAAGGGGAGAUAAAGCUGGAGAUGAUUUAUGUCUGUGGGAAGGAGAAGUUACUAUAGAUACCUGAAAGGAGAGCCAUGAAGCUUUAUUAACUGACAUAAAAAUAUCUCAUCAGGGAUAAAGCUCCCUGAUGUAAUAACAGUGAAAAAGAAAAAUUUAUUCUGAAGGUGGAACUAGUUCAACAUCUGAACAAUAUUUUCAAACUGUGAAAUACUCUCUGGGUAGUGAUUCUUCCUCUCAUUAGCCUUUUACUCAUUAUUCUUGCUAUUACUACCAUCAUCAAUGUCCCUAUUCAGAGGUAAACCUAUACUGAUAGUAAUUCCCAGACAUGUAAGAAAAGGAUUUAUGUGGAAAAAGGAGGAAUUAGGAAAAUCCUUUGGCAGCAAAUGUCUUUUUUUUUCUUAAAAAAUAGAAAAAAAGGAGAAUGGUGGAAUUACACUGUCAAACAACGACCUCAAACCUGGGCAAAGAUGGAGUAUAAUUUAUUUUGUGAAAUGCUAAUAAGUAAUAAGAUAGGUAAAAUAGAGAUUAGGAAUGUCUUUGAGAACAUUAAAUUAUGUUAUUAAGCCUUGAAUUAUCUCCUUGAAAUUUUUAGGAAAAGUGCAUAUGCAGUGUUGCCUAGCUUUUGGGUGCCUUAUAUCCUGGAAACAUAGAAUGUUCCAGCAUAGUCCUAUGCAUAAAAGUUUUCUUGGUUUUGUUUUUGUUUUGUUUGUUUUUUCACUAACUCAAACCUUAAAAAUUAUUUUUGCUUUAAGAAUUUUUUUCAGUUUAGCAGGUUAUACUGAGAGGAAUGUUUUUACUGCUAUUUUAUGAGUUCAUAAAAAAGUUUUAUAAGACAAUUUUGAACUAAAGCAUCUUCAAUAAAGCAUAAAGUAAUGACUUUUUAGGAUCAAAACUCUAUAAAUAAUAGCUACUUCUACAAUGCCGGUGAACAGGUUUAAUGUAUCAAGCGUGAACAUAAUCAUAAUACAGACCAGUCAGUAAAAGAAGGAGCCUUUUACUUUUUCAUGGUCAAAAAGUGUAAAUGUUGCUUUUUCAUAGCUUUUGACUUCUGCUUUCUCUCUGUUUAAGAGGAUAGGAAGCUGCAUUAUUAAUAAUUGAUCUUAGAAAAACAGAAAUAAAAUAUUUUUAGUUUAAAACCAAUACCUAUUUUCAGGUAGACUGUGUUUACCCAAUCACUUUUUGUGGUGAGUUUAACACAGAAGAUGGUAGAAUGCUUUUGAAGAUAAGAUGCUUAGAAAAUUAUCCCAAUUUCUAUUUGUAAUGCAACACUUGUGUUUCACGAAACUGCAUCAAGAAAAAUAUCCUUUACAAUUUUCUGAACAGAAACAAAGUAUGACAAAAGAUGCCCCAUCCCUGAAGUGUUCAAGGCCAGGUUGGAUGAGGUUCUGAGAAACCUGGCCAAGUGGAAGGUGUC